UGAAACAACAUUAUGAAGGUUUUGGAUGGUUAGCUACUUUACCUCAGCAGGAUAAGCGAGCACUCGUUACUCGCGCGGCGACAACAAACUCGCGAGGUUCGUGAUUGGUCGGUGAGAAAAUGCUACACCACAUUUCUGUCUGGUUUCAACUGCUGGGGAUCUGUAGCUGGGUGAGGUGAGGUAAGGUUUGCAAUGGCGAAAAAACGAACAUAUUACAAAGCAUAUCUUUACGACGAUCGACAGAGGACUCCCAGAAGUACACUACAAAUGAGUUUGAAGAGAUGUGACCCACCAACUGAAGGAGGAUCCACUGAGCAUCAACACUGUGUGCAGAGCCUUGCAGAGAGUCAGGAGGCAGCAAGUGUUAUGCAAGAAGUCAAUGACACAGCUGGUCAGCAAUAAGUCAUUGAAGAUGGUGGAUGGACU